rnacentral:rRNA from 1 species
AGAGUUUGAUCAUGGCUCAGGAUGAACGCUGGCGGCGUGCCUAAUACAUGCAAGUCGAGCGAACGGAUUGAGAGCUUGCUCUCAAGAAGUUAGCGGCGGACGGGUGAGUAACACGUGGGUAACCUGCCCAUAAGACUGGGAUAACUCCGGGAAACCGGGGCUAAUACCGGAUAACAUUUUGAACUGCAUGGUUCGAAAUUGAAAGGCGGCUUCGGCUGUCACUUAUGGAUGGACCCGCGUCGCAUUAGCUAGUUGGUGAGGUAACGGCUCACCAAGGCGACGAUGCAUAGCCGGACUGAGAGGUCGAUCGGCCACAUUGGAACUGAGACACGGUCCAAACACCUACGGGUGGCAGCAGUAGGGAAUUUUUCGCAAUGGGGGCAACCCUGACGGAGCAAUGCCGCGUGGAGGAUGAAGGUUUUCGAAUCGUAAACUCCUGUUGUAAGGGAAGAACGGCAAGGUUAGGAAAUGAACUUUGUGUGACGGUACCUUACCAGAAAGCCUCGGCUAACUACGUGCCAGCAGCCGCGGUAAUACGUAGGAGGCAAGCGUUAUCCGGAAUUAUUGGGCGUAAAGAGCAUGUAGGCGGUUUAUUAAGUCUGAUGUGAAAGCUAAUGGCUUAACCAUUAAAUUGCAUUGGAAACUGGUAAACUAGAAUACUGGAGAGGUAAGUGGAACUCCGUGUGUAGCGGUGGAAUGCGCAGAUAUAUGGAAGAACACCAAUGGCGAAGGCAGCUUACUGGACAGAGAUUGACGCUGAGAUGCGAAAGCGUGGGGAGCAAACAGGAUUAGAUACCCUGGUAGU